AUGCAUGACCUCCGGCCGGCCUGGCUCAUGUUGUGGCUGGUUCGGAGGUGGCGGCAAGGUGCUUGGCCGGGGGAAACCUUUGGCCGCCGGUGGCGGUCACGGCGUCGAUGGCGUCCCGGACGCCAUUCCCUCCUUGGCGGCGGCGCCGAGGCUAUACCUCCCCUGCCUCCCCCCUUCCCCUACGCCCGGGUGAAAACCCUAGCCCCGGUGGCUAAGUGGCGGCGGCGCCACAGCGUCGUCACCUUCUUGAAGGCGCCGAUUUGGGCCUGGGGAUGCUGGGUGUGCAUGGCGAGUUUGUCUGGUUCCUGGUGGCGGCCCGUUUGA
rnacentral:rRNA from 1 species